rnacentral:rRNA from 1 species
UACAGAGGGGGCAAGCGUUAUUCGGAAUUAUUGGGCGUAAAGGGCGCGUAGGCGGCUUGGCAAGUGGAAGGUGAAAUCCCUCGGCUUAACCGAGGAACUGCCCUCCAAACUGCUUUGCUUGAGGCCGGGAGAGGCGAGUGGAAUUCCUGGUGUAGCGGUGAAAUGCGCAGAUAUCAGGAGGAACACCGAUGGCGAAGGCAGGUCUCUGGGCCGAUACUGACGCUGAGGAGCGAAAGCUAGGGGAGCAAACGGG